rnacentral:misc_RNA from 1 species
AACGCACAUUGCGCCCCUUGGUAUUCCAUGGGGCAUGCCUGUUCGAGCGUCAUCUACACCCUCAAGCUCAGCUUGGUGUUGGGCGUCUGUCCCGCCUCCGCGCGCGGACUCGCCCCAAAGGCAUUGGCAGCGGUCCUUUGCACCUCUCGCGCAGCACAUUGCGCUUCUCGGGGUGACGCGGGCCGCGACCAAAAAGUCAACACAUCGUCUUUGACCUCGGAUCAGGUAGGGAUACCCGCUGAACUUAA